UUUUCUCUCUGUCUCUAUCUCCCUCCCUUCCCUCUCUAAAAAUAAAUAAAUAAAAUCUUUAAAAAAUUUUUUGAAUUACAAAAGCUGAACGUACUUGAAACAUUCAAUAAUUAGGAAGUAUAAAAGUAACCUCUAGUAGACAGACUGAAAAACUGUGGCCCACCACUGGUUUUUAUAAACCAUUCCAUGUCCCUGGAACCCAGCCAUGCCUAUUUGUUUAUGUACUGUCUUUGGCUACAGGGUUGAUAGCUGGGACAGAAUGAGAAUAUUUACUAUCUGGCCCUUUACAGAAAAUGCUGGUUAACCACUGCUCUUGUGUAUUAAUUGUGUAUUAACAUUAAAAUAACAAAAUGGUUUAUGUGGAUACAAAGCACACAUUGUAUACUCAGAUUUGUACACCUAGAAUGUGCCAAGUGUUGUGCUAAAUGAGUGUUUACAUAUUUUAUCAUCUAGUCCUUACAAUAACACUAUCAUGUAGAUAUAAUUUUAAAUUUAUACAGGAAUAUAGUGAAGUCCUGAGAGAUUAAGUAAUUUGCCUAUUACACCUCUACCAAAAGCCAGAGCCAGGAUUCAAAUUUAGCAGGUGUGAGCAAUCACAUGGGGCAGGCAGCAGCACAGAAUUCUCUACAUCACUGAAAAAUGAAGAGAGGCUGGCCAGUAUGGUUCAGGUGGUUGCAGCAUUGUCUUGUAACUGAAGCACACAGGGCACAUGAAAAAUGAAUGGAAUAAUAAUGUGCAAUGUUCAGUUUACUGCCUCUUUUUCAUUGCCCCCCCCCAAAAAAGCCCAUGUUCAAGAAAAGCAUCAAACUACAUUGACUUUACACAUUUUCUAAUGACCACAUUACAACUAUUGCCUGUCUCUUUUUUUAGCACCUGCUACAUUCAAGACCUGAUUCUUUUAUUUUUCAGAAUAUGAUUAGGCUUUAAAGCUAAAUAAUAUAGAAAAAAAUUUAAAUGGUUGGAACUCAUAAAAUUCUGUUAAGUAUUUUGUAAGUAUUACUGCAGCAAAUAAACUCUAGAAAUUCAGACAUAUCUGCCUUAUGCAACCCAAGACAGCAUAAACAUUAAAAUAAUGAAGAGGUUCACAAAAAUUCUAUGAAUAACCAUUCUCACUUAAAAUUCUGCAUUCUGGAUGUUAUCUCAGAAGGGACCGCUCUGGGAACAGAGUGAGGGUCCAUAGAAACUUGCUACAAUUGCAGUUGCCACUAAUGUGGUAUUCUAGAAACACCUGCAACUCUCAUUUCUGGAAGUAAAUGAACUUAUUUAGCAAGUUAGCCAUACUGAAUCUUAUCUUUUACACAUAACAUUUGAUUUCCCACAAAACACUACCAAGUAAUCAGUCUCCUCUCCUGUUUGUUCUAUUUCAGUAAAAACAAAGAUUAACAAAGAACACUAAAACUAACUGCAUAAACAAAGGUAUGCAAAAAAGUAACCAAGAGAAAUGUACAGUAACCUGGCACUUCCUUUCUAAAAGGCUGAACUGGGAAAAACAAACAAACAAACAAACAAACAAAAAAGCACCAAGUAAAAAUUAAAACCCUGGAGUUGGCCUUCUGUGCUGGCCAAUAGGGAAUAAGACAGUCUGGAUUUAUCCUCUUACUAGGAAUGACUAGAAAACAAACAAAAUACAGGAAAAAACUUUUUUCAGACAAAGGACAACAUGGAGUGCAGGACUGGCAACCCUUGGAGAAGGAGAAGGAAGUGAGCCCUGUAUUUGCCCCAGCUUACUGACUGGACAGGUGGUGAGUCAGAAGAGCUCAAACCCAGACCAGUGAUUUGUGGAUACAGACACUGGGGGUAAGGGAAAAC